rnacentral:tRNA from 1 species
GCGGGCGUAGCUCAGUUGGUAGAGCCCCGGAUUGUGAUUCCGGUUGUCGUGGGUUCGAGCCCCAUCGUUCGCCCCA